CAAGUGCAUGCGUGUAAAAGAAAGAGUGCGGGAGGAUUUGGAGUGCUGUCCAGCUGAGGUCGGCCGACUGUCUGAAAACUUUUUCUCACACUCUUGGAGUUGCACUCUUUCCUCUGUUUACACAAACAGACAUAGCACUGGAAAGACUAGAAUUACUAGUUUCCAGCAUGCAGUGUGAUUUGGAUUCUACUCUGCACCAUGGGAUGAUUGUUUUUGGUCAACAAGCAUUAGCAGAAAUUUAUCAGCUACAUCAGCUUCAAAGCCAGCAUUAACCAGCACAGAGCAGCAUGGAAAUUGACCCAAGAUUGUUCAACUGACAUCUACUCAUCACCAAGACAGAAACCACCUCUUUCUCACCAUAGUGCAAUCAGUGCAUAGAGAGCAAUCAAGCUUGCAAAGCCACUAUGACUGAGAAGAGAACUGGAGGGUAGACUGCUUUCAAAAACAGCCGGUGUCUGAAGGGAACACAAAAGCCCCUCUUUUCUCUGAUUUCAAGCAUCUGCAUGUAGAAGCCAGUCCGAACAGGAACCUACUCUUCCUGCUGUCUGCUGGCCUCCUCGACCCUCUCCAGCUUAUCCAGAGAGAAGGACAGGGGUUGUUUUUGGACUGUGGUUCCCCCCAUUGUGCCUCAAAGGGCAGCACAGGAAAGAGCAGACACAAAGAUAAAAGUGGACAACCUCUCUUAGGACUCCUUAAGAUCUUCUUGGAGACAGCGUAAAAACUCCCAUUUCGAGUCGUGAAGGGAAAACAGAGCAAAGAUCUUAGUGUCCUGGUGGACAGUGUUGUGUGAUGGAGGACUCUGACCUGACGCCGACACUCCUGACCUCAAAGUGUGCAGUCUGAGGGCAGUCUGUGAAACCCCAGUGCAUGUUUGCAUUCCUGAAACGGUCUGUAGCAGACGGUGAAGGCUGGAUGAAGAAUGGGAAUGUUGCUUUAAGGUUUGUGGGUUCGGAGGUUAUCGCACAAGCUGCCUACACAGGCUCUCCAACAGUCCAUAUUGAGGUGAUACCCAUACCGCUUGAGAUUCAGUAGCAUAAGCCAAAAGACACUGUAUGUUAUAAAGAUUUUACCACAAUAAGAGGUGUCUUUAAGGCCCAGUAUACUGAUGGUGAAGCUCUUUUUUGAUCUUUGCUUAGAGGUGAAAAGAAUUGUGAAGUAUCUGAGCAGGAGUAUACUGUUAACGAACAUCAUGGUGCCACCCACACCACUGAGAGUGCCGU
ensembl:lncRNA